rnacentral:rRNA from 1 species
UACAGAGGUCUCAAGCGUUGUUCGGAUUCAUUGGGCGUAAAGGGUGCGUAGGUGGCGCCGUAAGUCAGGUGUGAAAUUUCGGAGCUUAACUCCGAAACUGCAUUUGAUACUGCGGUGCUUGAGGACUGGAGAGGAGACUGGAAUUUACGGUGUAGCAGUGAAAUGCGUAGAGAUCGUAAGGAAGACCAGUGGCGGAAGGCGGGUCUCUGGACAGUUCCUGACACUGAGGCACGAAGGCCAGGGGAGCAAACGGG